UACGAAGGGGGGCUAGCGUUGUUCGGAUUUACUGGGCGUAAAGCGCACGUAGGCGGAUCGUUAAGUCGAGGGUGAAAUCCUGGAGCUCAACUCCAGAACUGCCUUCGAUACUGGCGAUCUAGAGUCCGGAAGAGGUGAGUGGAACUCCUAGUGUAGAGGUGGAAUUCGUAGAUAUUAGGAAGAACACCAGUGGCGAAGGCGGCUCACUGGUCCGGUACUGACGCUGAUGUGCGAAAGCGUGGGGGAGCAAACAGG
rnacentral:rRNA from 1 species